AGUCAGUGUAUUUUGUCUUAUUGCAUUGUAUACUUAGCAUUCACAGUUCCUGUUUACAACUGUUUCUCUGAAACCAUGACAAUGAAGAAAAAAAGCCACAAAGGAUUUUCCUUCAAUCACAUGAUUCUAAGAGCUGGAGUUUAUUACAACUAUAUUUAUUACAACUAUCCAGGCUGGAUGUGGCUCUGGGCAGCCUGGUCUAGGGGUUGGUGACCCUGCACAUAGCAGGGGGGUUGAAACUCGAUGAUCAUUGUGGUCCUUUUCAACCCAGGCCAUUCUAUGAUUCUAUGAUUCUAUAUGCAGAGAGAUUUUUGAGUCACUGCAAACAAUGCAUCAUAUCCAGUCCAGACUCCACACAAGGUUGUGAAGGCUAGAAUUAACAGCCAGCCAUGAAGAGGAGCAGUGGAUACAAACAAUUUGGAAUGAGAAGACAGUGGAUUACAGAACCAAAAAUUUCCUCAAGCUUUGCUCAGCUCCGAGAUGAAAGCUUGCAGCUGUGUAAGCAGGAGGCCACAACUGAUCUCAGCUACCAUCAUGACUUUUUUAAGGAGAAGGUCCCCUUAGAUACUGAAAGACCACUGUCAGGUCUCUCUGGAGCCUUCUCUUCUCCAGGAUAAAAAGCCCCAGCUCUUUCAGCCUGUCAAGUACAAGCCCGAACGUUUGACAGGGAUGUGAAAAAUUCCCUACUGGCUCACACCAGUGGUCCAUCCAGCCUGGCCUUCUGACUUCAAUAGCAGCAGUGGGAUGUGUGAUUCAGAAACGAAUGUGAUUCUACAGUGUUUUACAGUCCAUACCCUCACACACACAGAUCCCCAGAAUUGAAUCAGUUCGUCAGGAAGUUGGGAGAUACUUCUUUGCCCAUUGCCUUUCGUACGGGCCUGUUGCCCGGGAAUAUGACCAACUUAUUUUUGGACUUGAUGACAACCUGCAGUGGCAAUGAAUUCUAUGAGCCUACUUUCUGCUGCACAAAGAACUACUUUCUUUUAUCUACUUUAAGUCAACGUCAUGCUACUUUCAAAUGAGUACCAUAGUACUAGUAUUAAGGGAUUUGCUUGGUAAUAAUUCUGAAUUCACCCUAAUCACUGCUUGCAUGAUUUUGUAAACAAUGCAUUGCCCUUAAACUCUUCCUCCUAACAAUGAAAAAUUCUAGCCUUCUUAAUUUGUCUUUGCCAGACAGCUGCACCAUUCUCUGUCUUGUUUUAUCUGCACUUUCCUGGGCUUCUUCUAGGUCUACUAUGUCCAUCUUGUGAUGGAGACCCGUGCUGUCAGUAUUAUUCAAGGGGACAAGCCAAAGUUCUCUACAGAAGUAAAAUGAUGUCCUGUCUUCUACCCUCAAUACCUUUCCUGGCAAUGCCUAUUAUUUUGCUGGCAUUUAUGGUUGCUACUGUAGGUUCCUCCAGUGACUUCAGAGCACAGUCUUUUGUGAAUCCAAUAUUUUAUUCCUGAGCUGCAAUUGACAGAUCAAAUAAAGCAUCACACAGGCACAGUCUAGAUUACUUUUCUCUAAGAUAUAUUAUGUUCUAUUUCUUAACACUGAAGCUUAUCUGCUCCUCUUUAACUUAGUUUUAUGAGGUCUUCCUUGAGUCCCUCACCACUGACCUAACAUUUUCUUCCCAAGUUUCACCUACAAAUAGAGACAUUCUGCAGUGCACUCCUCUUUCCUGAGCACCAAUGAAGAUGCUGUGGAGAACUGGUCCCACCACUGACUCCUGGGGGACCCCUCUGCUGACUCCAUACUGAAAAGUAACAUUCAAGCCAUCUUCAUUUCCUUAUGUGUUUGAGGAUCUUUGCCCAGAUUACAGUCUGUAUAAUGAUCGGUCCCCUAGAACUGUAGAGUCGUAGAAUGGCUUGAGUUGAAAGGGACCUUAGAGAUCAUUCAGGUCCAACCCCCCUGCCACAGGCAGGGUUGCCAUCCACCAGAUCAGGCUGCCCAGGACUCCAUCCAACAUGGUCUUGAACAUCUCCUUGGAUGAGCAUCUUACUUGCUCUGUUAAACUUUGUUGUGAGACCUUGUCAAACCCUUUCUGAAGAUCUAGGUAUAGUGUGUGCUAUAGAUACCCCUUAUCCAUAUGUCAACACCUUCACAACAGUCCAGAAAGUGCAGGACUCCCCUUUGCUGGAGACAUGUUGACCCUUUGUGUUAAUCCACAUCCCCAAGGAUCCUGUUCUUCCUUAUAGCCUUUGCCACCUGGCCAGAAGGGAAGACACGUCCCCUCUGGGUCCCUUUCCUACAUGGAGCCAUGCAGGCCCGGCAGUGCUGGGGAUCUGGAGGUGCUGCUGAGGAUCAUUCAGGUCUGCAGGUACACAGCUGAACUCCUUCCAACUGUGGUAACACCGCACCUACUGGCUUACCAUCACCUCAUCUCUCUGCUUACGCUAAUACAGCUUGUGUGCUUGCUUCAAAGCAGUGAUAAACCUGCUAGAAUGAAUGGCCCAGCUUGGGCAAUACUUCUGCUGUUCUCUUUGAGUUUAUCUCCUGCAGUCUCAGCAUCCUUGAGUGCCUUUACCACACCUCGAUCAACAAGUUGGCCCAUCACCUCCCUCACCGGCUUCCUGUUUUUGCUUAUAUUUAAGUAUCUCAUCAGCAGCUUGAAUGCAAGGCACUCUUCAUAUUGGUUCGAGCUUUUCUUAUUUCCUGCUUUCACCUUACCUGUCAUGUUUAUAGGCUUCAGUUUCAUUGCAAGCUUUCAACUUUUUAAAUGCUGAUAUUUUCCUGUGGUGGCCUUCUUGCCCUUUCCACCGAGCUGUGUGGGGAUUUUAUUGGCGUGCUGUUUCCUUUUAGAAUUGAGGCAGUUUGCCAGAGCUUCUAACACAGUAUCUGUAAAAAUAUCAGUACAAUAAUACUACCGUGUGAGUCCUGGAAGAACUUUAUUGUAUUUAAAACAAGAAACGUGUCCAGAUACAUUUCCUGUUCUCUGACCUCCAGUCCCGCAACACAACCUUGAACACAGAGCAACUGACUCAGCUGCUCUCUCUCCACACGGGGAAGAACUGCCUGCCUGCUGCUCACUGCAUCUCUCUAUUUCCUUACAUACCUGUCAGCACCCACAGCUCUCUUUCCAGACUAUCUUCCUUUGGCUUAUAUUUAGACUUUGAAGAGUGGAUGGUUCUUAAUCUGACAGCUAUCAGAGAAGGCUGUAAAUCUGGUGCUGUCCUACACUGCAUUCUUCAGUUCUUGUUUACUGAAAGAGCAUGGUUACUAUUUGGACUCUGAUCUUGCAAGCUGUAUGUUUUACCUGUGAAAAGUACUGCAGUGUUGACUAGUGUGCACAGGCAAGAAGCUCAUUUUACUCAUUACAAAAUCUGCUUUCAUAGAAAUCACAGUAUGUCCAAAUGCCACGUUAUUAGCAGAAGAGGAUAUCAUGAUACAGAUUUCCCACCUGCUAACUGUUCUUUACUCCAAAAAGUCAAAGUAUGCACAACUUUCCUCGCCCUCCAUCUUGACGACCCACAGACACCGGCGUAGAAAUGAAAGGACGCCUCGAGCAGAAAAUCUGAAAGGCUGAUGCCUUUCCGUCGGUCCCGUUAGGUGGAGCUCUCAGACAAGGAGAAAUGACAUCCCACCAGGCACCCUGAGGAGUCGUUAGCACUGUAUUAUUCAGAUAAAAUUGAAGAACAAAAAUGCAGCUGGGGUUCAUGCAAGUGGCAAUUUGAAGAGUACCUUUAUUCUCAAACAGCUUGACUUCUCUUGUCGGGGAGAGUAUCUGUCAAACCACACGUUUCUCCUUCCUGAGCUCAAAUAACAGGUGGCUGAAAUCUGAAAAGGGCUGAUUUUCAAGAACGUGUUGUAUUUAGCAAGUUAUAUUUACAACCAAAUAGCAAUGCAAUCAUGUCUACUCGCUGCUCCUCUGGGACAGAAUUAAGAAAUAUCACCCAAAUGUGAACAGCAGAUCCGUGAUACAGGCAGGAGUGGGACUGGUCCUUCUCAAGUCACAACUCCACUGUUUAACUACAGGGCCAUAAAACUUCCUUUCCUAGUCUGCUAGCAAUGCCACGAUCCACUCAGACAAAGAGUGAUAUCAAGAAUAAGUCCAUCUGGCAUCAGCCACAGCCCAUAUGAGAUGAAGAUCAACAGCCUGGGAAGAGGAGUGAACUCAGUGCCUAGGGCUGGGCAGUGCUAGCACAAGCUGUCUUCCCCCUUUGCUGAGGGGGGCUGUCAGGUUUGGAUCAGCAGCAACACAAGGGCAGCCCCAGAAGUCAUUGCCUGUGUCAUAAACCAGAUGCCCCAGGGGAUUCUGAAUAACCCUACAGGCAAACAGAAUGGGCCAUCAUCCUCUUUUGUCAUGAAAAGGUAGGAGAUUCACUUCUGCAGCUUCAAGAGAAAUUGGGAAAGUAUGGCUACUUGAUUUUCAGCCCUGAUUUGUGCCUUCAAUUUGAUAAAGAUCCAUUCUUACAUGCUUGAGUCAUUUUAGCUACUUUUUCUUGCUUUUUUUCCCCUGUACACUCAGACCUGAAAACUGGAACUCCAGCAUCCCAGGAGGGUACCACUGACGUAAUGUAGCAUGACAAUACAUAACUCCCAUUGGCUUCCUGCGUUGGUGCUCACAAGUGUUCUACGCAGAAAGUCUUUUCUUCAGAACUGUGUUGUGCUGAGGACUGAAUUAAUCUGUUAUUUAAUGUGGCUACUGAGCUUUAUGUUCUGCAAAUUACCAUUACUUGAUAUUUCUUCUUGCUGUGAAUUUUUUUGUCGAGUUUGGACUUGGUGAUCCUUAUGGGUCCUUUCCAGUGUGGGUUAUUCUAUGAUUUUAUGAUUUCCAAACUGUAAAGAUUUAUACUUUCUCAUGUUGUUUGAUCGUUUGCUUUUAAUACAUCUCUUCAUCUGCUGAAUAAUGCAGGUAGAUUUUGGAUUUUCUCAUGACUUUGCCCCACCAAAGUAGCUAACUAGGGUGAAGUCCAUUAAUUGAUAUCACUCAAUUAAUUAUUCUGAGAACUCAGAACCUGGUUUCUGGCUCUGUCUUCUGAAAGGAAAAUCUGUGUUGUUUGUUUGAUUGCUCCUCAAGCUGCAUGUGCCUUCCCAGGCUUUGAAGCUAUGCCCAUCACUGCAGAACAUGAGAUGACUGAUAACGCCCUUCUCAUUCACAGAACAGACACUGUUCAGCAACAACAUGUUUUGGCCUAAAAAGUGGUGUUUGAGACCUGAUACGUAAUCUAUGAAUUCGUCCAAUCUGGUCAGUGCCCCUUGCUUUGGUGUUCUUAAGAUAUAGAUGCACAUCCACUCAGAAAAUCACUGCUGCCCCAGGCAGUGGCCAGGCCAUCUCUAUCAGCUCUUGGUCACUGGGAACGUUUCAAAGUUGCUCUGGAAACAGAAGGCUCUGAAACUACACAGUGUUAUUCCCAUGAACAACGCACUGCCCUACAGUUUGCUCUGUUCACAGCCAGCUACUCUUCUAUUAGACUCUUUUUUUUUAUUAUUAUUAUUUGCCCACAAAUUUUGUUAUACUUUCUUGUAAGCAGUCAAAAUUCAAGUUUUGUUGAAAUCAGCAAUAAAAAUUCUGAAGCAAAAAAUACCAAUAAAUCUAGUUAUUUAGCCAAUAAACAGAGGUAGGCUAAACUAGUAUGCUCUGAUCCCUGUGCAGCAGUGCCAAGCAGGUGGCCAUACACAAUUUAGCUCACUGACGAUUGCCUGCAGUGUGACCAACGCAUGGCAGUCCUUGGUGCAGACACAUCCAGGAGCAGCUGGCCGAGGGCAUUCCCUGGGUAUUUUGGGGCAUGGUCCUGGCACCUGUUCUCCAAUGAAUUGUUCUUUAUCACUUUAAUAAACCGGGAUAUACAUUCUUACAUUUUGGCUUCUAAAAUUCCCGUGAAACCACUGAAAGCUGAGCAUGCGGUGGAAGACUGUAUGUAGGAAUGUUCAGCUUCUGUUGGACAUUCUUGAUGGGAAUCUCCUUUAGUGAACACUGAGAUGUAUGAACAACAAGCCUUUCACCGAUACCCUGAAGUUGCAGGCAAAAGCCACUGUCUUAAAAAAGAAAGGGAUUAGGCUAGCUGGAUGUUUUGGUUGGUAAAGGAGUUGAAAAACAUUAUUUAUUUCAGCAUGAACUCACCGGACCUCUGCCCCUGUUUUCACUGCAGAGAGACACAGGAUGGAUUCAUUUUGAUUCUGUUCUCAGGCGAUGGUAAGAGGAUCGUCUCUGUUGAAUAGCCCUGACUGUUGUGACACCAAGUGUCCUCCACUAGCACAGAGCCCUGUUUGUUCCCCCAGCCCCAGCGACACGCUGGGUCAGACUCCCUCCAUUGGGGCUGCACGCAUUCGGCAGAUCUUUUCACCAUCAGUGGGGUUCAGGGGGGACGCAACGUGGCUGACACUGGGACUACAGACCCUGGGCAGCUGGGGAGCAAUGAUGGUGGGCCCAGCAGGGCAAUGCCCCCUCCUGCCAGUUUCCUUCUCUGAGCAACCUGUUCAUCGGGGUCCGUGUAGGUGUGCAAUGCUGUGUGACCGUGGAUUUUUGCACCCAACCUCUGUGCGCAUUGUUGACUGCAGUGGCACCACUGCUGCAGCACAUUUUCAAAGAGAACUGAAGAAAACAAAAAGCUACAUGUACUGGUAUUCCUCUUUAAUUUAAUAUCAUCUUACAAGGUGGAAAUUAAAAUGAUUUUUUCUGUCACCGUUAUCUCACUUCACUUGGCGAUGAUCGAUUUCCUUCUCCCCUACUGCUUACUAAUAAGACAUCUGAACACUGAGAUGGUUUUUGUGUUUACUUCCUUGUUUAAAUCAGCUUCCCCAGCUAAGGACAGCCUUGGCACUACAUCUGCUCCGCAACUUGUGAUUUCUGCGUUGGCUCCACGCUGACAGAAUGUCAGGCAUGGAGAGGUAUAUAUUUUUAAUUACUCGGGGAUGCCCCUGUGUAUAAGUACAGGCAAAUUAACUAAGCACAGUCCAAAACCUGCUCCUAGCAGCGCUCACAUGUUACACACACACACACAUUUCAGGCACCGAGCCUCACCUCUUGGGGCUGACGCAUGGAGAGAUGGUGGCAGGUGACAACGACACCUUUCUACAAAUGGAACGCUGAUGUCCAGGGAGAGGAAUAGACAAAAGUCAGCAUCGCUGAUGUCUGAAAGAAUCUGGUGCUUGCUUCCAGAAAUCAGCGAUCCUUCGCAGAGGUGGGGGUAUGGCAGUGAGCACGGCUGCUGCCUGGGGUCUGGGCACCGUGCUGUGAGCUCCUCGCACCCUGCUAGCAUGGCAGCUCCAGCCCUGAUGGAGUUAUUGCGACAGACUAAAAAUGCUCAGUGAACAUCUCGCAGUUUAAGGAGAAAAUACCAAAAGGGAAGGGAAGGAAACUUGGCCAUAUGCACAUCGCAGGCGAGGAACCAUGGAAAGAUGGGGCCGAGGCUCUGGAGCUGAGUGCUGCUGUGGAGCUGAGUAAUAGGCUCUGCAGUGCAUGCUCUCGGGACGUCAUCCCACACCUUUUGGACGUUUUGCUGUCUGUGGCAUCUCCUUACCAAAUGUGUUUUGUGUCGCCCCAGCUGAAAUCUCUGUGUUCAGCAUUAGUCAGUUUUUAUCUCUGGGAUCUUCACACCCCAAGACCUACACAGUGCUGUCCUAUCUCCUUCCUCUCAAACUUCAUUGUCCUUCGCUUACCCUGUUUCUCUAAGCGGAAAUUUUGGUGUUUCCUUCUCCCUCUUGGCAAAGCUGCUCUUGCUCUUCUCAGGAAGACAACACCUUAAGGUUUCUUUCAGCCCUAUCCUAAACAGUUUCACGAUUUUCUUCACAACGAUCUCUGUAGCAACACCACCUCACCCACAGCUGGGCUGUACCGGGUCCCUUCCCACAUGCAGACCCCGUGGGGGGACCCCACACCACGGCCGGGUCCCGGCCCUGGGCAGAGGCACCCGCGGCACUGCAGGGACCGGGCCGGGAGG
ensembl:lncRNA